rnacentral:rRNA from 1 species
CCGGAAACAAGUCGCCACGCCGUUCCCCGGCCGACCUCGCUUCGCCCCGACCACCGCAGGGCCAUGGAGCCGAACGCCACCGUUGAGGCCGACGCCGAGGACGACUACAUGGGGGACCUGUCCCACUUCCUCCCGCCAAGCCCGCCCUCUCCCUCCAGGAGCCUCGGGGUCCGGAAGCAACCCCCCAAGCCGGCUCCGCCGGCGCGAGGGCACGCGAAGCGCGCCAAGGGGCUACCGUGGAAGGAGCGCCGGCGGCAGGAGCGCGAGAGGAGCCAGAGAGAGGAGGACGCCCGCACCUUGGCCGGGAUGGCGGAGGCCAUCCCGGAGAGCAACGUUGGGUUCAAGAUGUUGAAGCAGAUGGGAUACGACCCGGCAGCCCGCGGCGCCGGCGCCGAGCCGGUUGGAAUCGAGAUCCGCCGCUCUCGGGCCGGACUCGGGGCGGAGCCAGAUGCUUCUGUGGCGCCGCUGCCGCAGCCAUCGGAACCCAAGACGCGGGAGGAGGAAGAAAGGGAGAGGAAGCGGGAGGAGGAGAUGGUGGUGGAGCUGAGGUCGAGGAAGAGCACGCAAUGGAAGGGACGGAGGUUGGUGUGGGACUACCGCAAGGCUGAGGCGGCGCUCGCGCAGCUGGAGAACAGGGAGGUGGAGCCACCGGCCCCCGAUGGGGAGGAGAAGGAGAAGGGAGAAGAUGAAGAGGAAGAGGUGAUCACUGAAGAGGGUUUACAAACCAUAUUGGAUAAGCUGCGUGUUCAACACCACUAUUGCCUUUACUGUGGAUGCAAGAAAUGUAGGGAAAGGCUGCGUACUAUAGACCCAAAGUGGUCGGACCCUUCCCUGGACCCUGCGCAAGCGGGAGCUACAUGCACCAGUUUGAAUCAGCAGGAGCACUGGCAAAUGAAUGCCCUGGGCCUAAUGAAGAUGAUCACUGAUCCACUCUGUCAAUGGUGACAAGGGCACUGUCCUUCCCACUGCAGAUUAUGGUAAAUGUGACAUUUGGGAUAUUCUUGAUUAGUUGACUGUGUACGGUUAACCUUAGUCCUUAACACAAUCACUGGUUCAUAGCCAACUGGAGAAACUGAGCUCCAGCAUGUUAGUGGAAACAAUAUAUUCUUAACUACUAUUAUGUGUAUUAGUUCUGUAUGAAAUGUCUCAACAUGUGAAAUCUUUUUGGGUCAGUUUGAAAUUACAGAGAUGGAAUGGGAAGCUUCAAGGAGUUCGCAUAUUGUGUGAACUGCUUCAUUUAG